GAUAUGGAUUGUGUAGAGGCCCUUUAGAAAGUGGCAAGUACUUACUCAUCAAGAGAGAGCAGUGCCCUCUUUUCUCCUCCAGCUUCAGUCCCAAAGCCAGUCAGUCACUCAUGGAGCUGCAUGAGCUGCAUCUUAAGAGGUCCUCCAUGCUGACCUAAGAGGUCCUCCCAUGCUGACCUAAGAGGUCCUCUCAUGCUGACCUAAGAGGUCCUCCAUGCUGACACUGCUCUAGGGGCAUCUCUCACUGGGUACCACUCAUCUUUAGAGCUGUGUUCAGAGGAUUCCUACCUGGAAAGAGCCGGCCUGACUCAGCAGGGCCCCAUGUGGACAGGAGCUGGCUCUGGUUCUCCGUUCCUUUCUCUGGAUCUUUGCUGUCUCCUGCUCACCAGUUUUCAGGAGAACAUGGGAAGACACAUUUGGUGGGGGGGUGGGGAGGACUGGAAGAAAUCUCUUUAACUUCAGGUUACUAAAGGUCUGAGGACUUACACCUCAGCUCUAUUUCUGUUAAGAGACAUUCUCCCUCCUUGCCCCCCAUUGUGGUAAGGGUAAGAAUCCUGCUCAUCUCACCAUGCAGAGGGCAAGGGCAGCUGCUCAUCAGAGAAGCACCGCCUCUUACUCACGGAAUGGGUUCAUG